rnacentral:rRNA from 1 species
UACGUAGGGGCCGAGCGUUUGUCCGGAGUUAUUGGGCGUAAAGCGCGCGCAGGCGGCCUCGCGCGCCCGACGUGAAAGCCCCCCGGCUUAACCGGGGGAGGGUCGUUGGGGGACGGCGGGGCUUGAGGGCGGGAGAGGUCGGUGGAAUUCCCGGUGUAGUGGUGAAAUGCGUAGAGAUCGGGAGGAACACCUGUGGCGAAGGCGGCCGACUGGGCCGACCCUGACGCUGAGGC